rnacentral:rRNA from 1 species
UCGAGCGAGUCUGCCUUGAAGAUCGGAGUGCUUGCACUCUGUGAAACAAGAUACAGGCUAGCGGCGGACGGGUGAGUAACACGUGGGUAACCUGCCCAAGAGAUCGGGAUAACACCUGGAAACAGAUGCUAAUACCGGAUAACAACAGAUGAUGCCUAUCAACUGUUUAAAAGAUGGUUCUGCUAUCACUCUUGGAUGGACCUGCGGUGCAUUAGCUAGUUGGUAGGGUAACGGCCUACCAAGGCGAUGAUGCAUAGCCGAGUUGAGAGACUGAUCGGCCACAUUGGGACUGAGACACGGCCCAAACUCCUACGGGAGGCAGCAGUAGGGAAUCUUCCACAAUGGACGCAAGUCUGAUGGAGCAACGCCGCGUGAGUGAAGAAGGGCUUCGGCUCGUAAAGCUCUGUUGUUGGUGAAGAAGGACAGGGGUAGUAACUGACCUUUGUUUGACGGUAAUCAAUUAGAAAGUCACGGCUAACUACGUGCCAGCAGCCGCGGUAAUACGUAGGUGGCAAGCGUUGUCCGGAUUUAUUGGGCGUAAAGCGAGUGCAGGCGGCUCGAUAAGUCUGAUGUGAAAGCCUUCGGCUCAACCGGAGAAUUGCAUCAGAAACUGUCGAGCUUGAGUACAGAAGAGGAGAGUGGAACUCCAUGUGUAGCGGUGAAAUGCGUAGAUAUAUGGAAGAACACCGGUGGCGAAGGCGGCUCUCUGGUCUGUUACUGACGCUGAGGCUCGAAAGCAUGGGUAGCGAACAGGAU